GAAAUAAAGUUCAGGUCCCCUAGAUCAAUAUGGUCAAGAAAAGCAGUUGCAGGUCAGCGCUCCCUCUCCUCUUCAUCAGCCAUCACCUAUUCAUCCAUUCCAGGACCAAGGACAACGAAACAAAACAAACAACCCUGACUUCCAAUAUGUGUGCCUCCUUGAAUCUUCGGAGAGGAUAACUCGGGAUACUGGCAGAGAGCUUUGCUACUCAUUGUGAUCCAUGGACCAUCUGCAUCACCUGGGAGCAUCACCCUGGAUUCAUUGAAACAGAACUUGCCAUUUAAAAGGAUUCUGAAGUGAUUCAUGUAUGCUGUAACACCUGAGAGCAUUAGCAUGACUGAGGACCCGAGUGGGUGAGCAGGCAAACCCGGAAGCCCCCUGGGAAGCAAUGAGAAGGAGAAAGCCUGAGAAACUCGCAGGCUGAAUUUUGAUUUUUGUGGAUCUCUGCUACAAAACCUCUUAACGUCCUUCUACGCCACUCCCUCUUCUUCUGACCUCCACGACCCCUUCACCUUAGCUGGUCUGCAACUGUGCGAGUUUCUUUCCAACUACUUGUCCCCACCCCAAAGCUGGCAAUUUGCUCCCUCCCUCUCUUCCACCUGCCUCUGCUACGUGACCUAGAGUGAGUCACCUGCCAUCCUAAAUCCUUGGUUCCUUCAGCUGGAGAUGGUGCACCUGUUUUAGAAGGUCUCUGAUGGUGCUUCUAUUCUGAGGUUGUAAGAUUCAGGUCAUGCCUGCUCAAGAAAAACACAUGUGACUUGGUUAAAAAUGAGCAUCUGGGCAUGGGUUACUCUUUCUACUUGAAAGUAUUUUUUAAUGGCAAGAGUAACAUAUGAGCAUUUUUUCCUACACAAAAUGAAAACAUCAGAGAUAAGAUUCAAAUUGUUCUUUCCUGCAACCCCAGCUCAUACCACCUCAAAUGUUGAGAUCAAAGAAAUACAAAAAAAACCUCAAACGUUACCCACUUCACUACUUUAGGAGUUUGAUUUGUACUUUUUCUGAGAAUUUUCUGUUUUUAUACACAUUAUGUAUAUCCAAAGAAACUGUAUAACAUUGUUUUGUGAGUUUUAUUUUUAAAAAUAAAGAUGCUAUUUCUACACA